rnacentral:tRNA from 1 species
GCUCUUAGUUCAAUUCGAUAGAACGUGGGUCUCCUAAACCCGAUGUCGUAGGUUCAAAUCAUACGUAGUAGCA